CCUACGGGUGGCAGCAGUGGGGAAUAUUGGAUAAUGGGGGCAACCCUGAUCCAGCCAUGCCGCGUGUGUGAAGAAGGCCCUCGGGUUGUAAAGCACUUUCAGUGAGGAAGAACGCCUGGUGGUUAAUACCCAUCAGGAAAGACAUCACUCACAGAAGAAGCACCGGCUAACUCCGUGCCAGCAGCCGCGGUAAUACGGAGGGUGCGAGCGUUAAUCGGAAUUACUGGGCGUAAAGCGCGCGUAGGUGGCUUGAUAAGCCGGUUGUGAAAGCCCCGGGCUCAACCUGGGAACGGCAUCCGGAACUGUCAAGCUAGAGUGCAGGAGAGGAAGGUAGAAUUCCCGGUGUAGCGGUGAAAUGCGUAGAGAUCGGGAGGAAUACCAGUGGCGAAGGCGGCCUUCUGGACUGACACUGACACUGAGGUGCGAAAGCGUGGGUAGCAAACAGGAUUAGAUACCCCUGUAGUC
rnacentral:rRNA from 1 species